GUUUUGAUGCGCUGCAAUAUAACUUUAUUUCCUUACUUUAGAACAUCGGAUUGAAUCUUUGAAAACAAAAAAUGACUUCUCAUUUUUCUGACACUUGGUAAAUACAUAUCAUAGUUCGAUUUAUAAAAAUUUUGUUUUUUUUUCUUCAGGUCCUUGUGAAUGACACGAACGUUUAUCAAUAGACUUUAUUUUCGUAGCUUCCGGCUUUUCCCGCGUACUUGCCACCGGAUUUCAAGACUAAACCGCUGAGGGCUUUCUGGAUUUGCUCCAAUAGAGAGUAGAGCGUAUUGAGGGCGUCGCAGAGAAGGUUGGUUAGGUCAGCGUGUCCCUUGUAGCCGGCACCUGCAGAAUAGCCGCCAGAGUAGCCGCCAGAGUAGCCGCCAGGGUAGCCGCCAGAGUAGCCGCCCGCUCCCGCGUAGUCUCUGUAUGUUCGGGACUGGUCGUAGUCGCCUGCUGGUGGAACGUAGUCGCCUGCUGGUGGAGCGUAGUCGCCUGCUGGUGGAACGUAGUCGCCUCCUGGUGGCACGUAGUCGCCUCCUGGUGGCACG